rnacentral:lncRNA from 1 species
CCAUAAGAAUAUUGGUUCAGAACCGAUGUGAUCCUAAAAUACAAACGGUUAUCUUACAGCUGUCAUCCAACUCAACAGCAACGAUCUUCCAGCUAUACUAAACUAAUCACCACAUAGAUAAAUAACCCACGAUCUCCAUAUAGCUAGUAAUUCUGUUAUAACAAACUAACGGCCUAAUAAAUUUUUCUAGCAACCUAACGGCCUAAGCAAGCCCCCUCUAUAUAAGAAGAGGUAAGGUACCCUCUAAGAGAUAAGUCAUAACUCAUAGAGCUGAGACUCUGCUAAAUCUCUUUCAGCUUCCAUACC